UCUUAAUAUUUAACUGAAAUGCUUUUUAAUUUCAGGAAAAACCGUAAUAUUUACGGUUAAUAGCUUAAAUUUAACUGACACUAAAAGAGACAGAAAUAUUAGAUUACAUAAUUACAAACAAUUUAAGUUUCAGAACAGAGCUUGAUAAGUAGUGAUGCAGAUAUCAAAGAUAAAGUUAAUUUCUAACACGUAUUCCAGCAAUGAAUUUAUUGUGGCUAUUAUAUUAUAAAUACUCCCAUUUUCUUACUGUUAUAAAACCAAACUUCACGAAAAAAGCUCCGAAGGCUUUAACUUAAAGUACUCGAAUAUUGCGAACUCAUUUUGCAUUUUGAUUUGGCAUUUUCACAGUGAGUUAAAGAAAAAAAUAAAAUUAGAUAUGCUAUGAAUACACAAAACAUUAUUCCGUAACUGCAACCCAAAAACAACAAGACUCCUAUAACGCACACCCUUAAAAAGGUAUACUUUGAAGUGUUGCAUUGAAUCUUAAUUAAUCUUUUUAUAUGAAAUUUUUAUAUAUCUAUGUACUCCAAAAUUUGCUAAAACAAAAGAUGACUUUUUAAAGCUAAUGGUAAAAUACAAAUUAACAUUAAAGCGUCUCCCUAGAAACACUUCUGCUUGUUUAUAGAGCAGACAGAAAAUGAGUCUCACUAUCACCUGUUACUUUUACCUUUUCUUUCACACUUAAUGGCAUCUUAUUUUACACCGUUGUUCUAUAAAAUCUCAUGUCAGAAUAUAUAGAAAUAAACUCUCAUUAAACGAAUCAACCUUUUAAUAUGGGAACGUGUUGAUUAGUUUGAGUUUCACAAUCAUUUUGCAGUUAUAACUCUCUAUUGGCUCACAUAUUUACCACACACAUAUAUUCCUGUCAUAUUUCUUAUACACCUGUUCAUGUUGCAGUAAGGCCAAGAUGUGGUGUGUGUUGGUCACAGCGAGUCUCACAAUAUUUUUUCUAGGGGUUUGCACCCUCAUCGCAAGAAGAAAAUGUUGUGGUUGAAGAUAUGUACAGAGGUUCUAUACCCCCAUUUUCCCCACGAACGGGAAGAGAUGUGAGUGAUGAAUUGAAUGAAAAGCUCGUUGACGACAACAAUGACAGUGACAUGGAACACAUUUGCUAUCCUCCUAAAUGUGUUAUAUAGUAUUGUGUCCCUAGACCGGGGGGCAAGUAAUUACAGCCAAUCUUUCUAGCCUUGUCGGUCCUAUCCAUUAAGGUGACCUGCAUCCACAUCACGUUUUACAGCAUAGUCUUCAACUACGGCCACAUUGCACUUACUUGUAAUCCAUAAUAAUUAUUAAUAAAGUAUUUAAAAUAA